UGGUGGGUAGUUUGACUGGGGCGGUCUCCUCCUAAAGAGUAACGGAGGAGCACGAAGGUUGGCUAAUCCUGGUCGGACAUCAGGAGGUUAGUGCAAUGGCAUAAGCCAGCUUGACUGCGAGCGUGACGGCGCGAGCAGGUGCGAAAGCAGGUCAUAGUGAUCCGGUGGUUCUGAAUGGAAGGGCCAUCGCUCAACGGAUAAAAGGUACUCCGGGGAUAACAGGCUGAUACCGCCCAAGAGUUCAUAUCGACGGCGGUGUUUGGCACCUCGAUGUCGGCUCAUCACAUCCUGGGGCUGAAGUAGGUCCCAAGGGUAUGGCUGUUCGCCAUUUAAAGUGGUACGCGAGCUGGGUUUAGAACGUCGUGAGACAGUUCGGUCCCUAUCUGCCGUGGGCGCUGGAGAACUGAGGGGGGCUGCUCCUAGUACGAGAGGACCGGAGUGGACGCAUCACUGGUGUUCGGGUUGUCAUGCCAAUGGCACUGCCCGGUAGCUAAAUGCGGAAGAGAUAAGUGCUGAAAGCAUCUAAGCACGAAACUUGCCCCGAGAUGAGUUCUCCCUGAGACUUUAGGUCUCCUGAAGG
rnacentral:rRNA from 3 species